AAAAUCAUACUAUACAGAAUCAUUUCUGCAGUGUGUAUUUCACAGUACCAAACAAACGUUUCGAUUGUCAAACCAACGUUAAUGAGAAAUAAUCGGAGAUGA
rnacentral:snoRNA from 1 species